rnacentral:rRNA from 1 species
GUGAACGCUGGCGGCGUGCUUAACACAUGCAAGUCGAACGGUAACAGGAAGUAGCUUGCUACUUUGCUGACGAGUGGCGCACGGGUGAGUAAACUAUAGUUAAUGUGCCUCGAAGACUGGGAUAGCCACUGGAAACGGUGAUUAAUACUAGAUACACCUCUUUAGCUCAAGCUGAGGAGGGAAACGUUUUUUCGCUUCGAGAUCAGACUAUAUCCUAUCAGUUAGUUGGUGAGGUAAUGGCUCACCAAGGCAAUGACGGGUAGCGGUUCUGAGAGGAUGAUCCGCCACACUGGUACUGAGACACGGACCAGACUCCUACGGGAGGCAGCAGUGGGGAAUAUUGCACAAUGGACGAAAGUCUGAUGCAGCAACGCCGCGUGGAGGAUGACACUUUUCGGAGCGUAAACUCCUUUUAUAUGGGAAGAUAAUGACGGUACCAUAUGAAUAAGCACCGGCUAACUCCGU